GAGAAUUGCCAUGGCCUACCUGUUAAACAGCUUUCCUUACAUUUACUAGAUUUGAUGGUGAUGUUUCCUGAUAUUUCCGGAGAGACACAGGUAGAAUCCAACCGUGUUGUGUCUUCCUUGCCGGCUGACGUGGGCGUGACAAGUGGUGGCCCUGUACGGAGACCCAAUAACAUACUCGUGAAUUUCAGAACCCUUCAGUUCCAGGAUGGCGACGUUGAAUCAAGAAAAUCCAAUUUGGGUACCUGAGCGUUUGACUUGAAAAUUGCCUUCUGCUCUUCCUGAAGAUGAGACUACAAACCCUACUAUUACUACUGGGAAUGGUAAUAAAGGUUAAUUCACUCA